rnacentral:lncRNA from 1 species
GGCGCGUCCGUCCUUGGGCAGCGACCGCCAUGUCCGCGCCCCCGCAGGGGCGGCCGAGGCCGGCGUGCGCCCCCCGCCGCGAGCACCGCCCGGCCGCAGCUGCGUGAGGCGGGGAGCGCGGAAGCAAGCGCCAGGGGAUGAAGAGGAUGAAGAAUUCUCCAAGAUACCAACAAAAGAAUUGUAGAGAAAAGAAAGAAUUAGUUCCAGCUCAGUACAGAAGGGCUUUUUAAAAAGUCAGCUGAAGAAAGCUAUAGGCCAUCGUAAAGUUGUAUAGAAAGGCCAUAGUUGAUCUAUGUACAGGUGAUAUUCCAGGAAGGGGCUAUCCUUGCCAGAGCCACAGAGAUUUGACUGGGAAACAGCUUUCAGACAGCGACUCUUCUUCCUCACCUACUAUUUUAAAUCAUAAAUGAUGGGUGGAUUUGCUUUCUGGCUCCAGAGCCAAUCACUGUGCCAACGAACUUGGGAAGUGUGCGGAUGAUGUUUAGGGAAGCCAGGUGACAAAUGGUAACAAAUUAAUC